GAACUAUUUUCUUUCUCAGUAUUUUCUUUGUUUGAAAACCCCAAAUUCAUUUCUCCUUUCUUUCCUAGACUUUCUUUGCUUGAAACCCCAAAAUCCCGUCCCUUUUCUUUCUCAGUCUUUUCGUUGUUGGAAAACCCCAAAAUCCCGUCCCUUGUUCUUCUAUUUUAGCUGCUCCUCACAUUGAAGAAAAUAUCAGUCUCAAUCGACAUUGUCUCAGAUGUCAGAUGACUACAUGGAAGACCUCUGCUCAAAUAUCAAGGUUAGUGAUUAUCCUGAACGAGAUCCCUUUGAAGAGGAUGAGAUAUGAUGUCGUCGCGAAAGGGUACUGCUGCAUCAUUUGUUUCCAUGCAGAAUCAAUAACCUUACAGAGAUCGGCAAUGAUAUUUGAUUUUAUUUUUGGUAUUAUUGUAACAUAUUUGGCGUGGGACUGAUGUGUGAGAUACAAAACUCUUAGAGAGAUGAUACCUGAGCAAUAUUUUCCUAUAAUCUACUAUUAAUAUAUGAUUCUUGUGUCUAAA